rnacentral:rRNA from 1 species
UGGGGAAUAUUGCACAAUGGGGGAAACCUUGAUGCAGCGACGCCGCGUGAACGAAGAAGGUAUUCGUAUCGUAAAGUUCUGUCCUAUGGGAAGAUAAUGACAGUACCAUAGAAGAAAGCUCCGGCUAAAUACGUGCCAGCAGCCGCGGUAAUACGUAUGGAGCGAGCGUUGUCCGGAAUUAUUGGGCGUAAAGGGUACGCAGGCGGUUUAAUAAGUCGAAUGUUAAAGAUCGGGGCUCAACCCCGCAAAGCAUUGGAAACUGAUAAACUUGAGUAGUGGAGAGGAAAGUGGAAUUCCUAGUGUAGUGGUGAAAUACGUAGAUAUUAGGAGGAAUACCAGUAGCGAAGGCGACUUGCUGGACACAAACUGACGCUGAGGUACGAAAGCGUGGGGAGCAAACAGG